rnacentral:rRNA from 1 species
AACGAACGCUGGCGGCAGGCCUAACACAUGCAAGUCGAACGCUCCAGCAAUGGAGAGUGGCAGACGGGUGAGUAACGCGUGGGAACCUUCCCUAUGGUUCGGAAUAGCUCAGGGAAACUUGAGGUAAUACCGGAUAAGCCCUUCGGGGAAGAUUUAUCGCCAUUGGAUGGGCCCGCGUAGGAUUAGCUAGUUGGUGAGGUAACGGCUCACCAAGGCGACGAUCCUUAGCUGGUCNGAGAGGAUGAUCAGCCACACUGGAACUGAGACACGGUCCAGACUCCUACGGGAGGCAGCAGUGGGAAUUUUGGACAAUGGGGGCAACCCUGAUCCAGCCAUUCCGCGUGAGUGAAGAAGGCCUUCGGUUGUUAAG